rnacentral:SRP_RNA from 1 species
GCCGGGCGCGGUGGCGCGCGCCUGUAGUCCUAGCUACUCGGGAGGCUGAGGCAGGAGGAUCGCUUGAGUCUAGGAGUUCUGGGCUGCAGUGCGCUAUGCCGAUCGGGUGUCCGCACUAAGUUCGGCAUCAAUAUGGUGACCUCCCGGGAGCGGGGGACCACCAGGUUGCCUAAGGAGGGGUGAACCGGCCCAGGUCGGAAAACCAGUAACAACAGCAACAAAAAGGUCAUGACCAGUGCAGUGGGACCACAACGGAUGAGUCCCACCCCUAAUACUGUCACACUCUUCAUCC